UACGUAGGGAGCAAGCGUUGUUCGGAGUUACUGGGCGUAAAGGGUGUGUAGGCGGUUCUUUAAGUUUGGUGUGAAAUCUCCCGGCUCAACCGGGAGGGUGCGCCGAAUGCUGAGGGACUCGAGUGCGGGAGAGGAAAGUGGAAUUCCUGGUGUAGCGGUGAAAUGCGUAGAUAUCAGGAGGAACACCGGUGGUGUAGACGGCUUUCUGGACCGUAACUGACGCUGAGACACGAAAGCGUGGGUAGCAAACAGG
rnacentral:rRNA from 1 species